ACCAACGGCAGCGAGGCGUAUUCGCGCGCCGCCGCCGGGGUCGACCCGCGCAACAGCGUAAAGGCCGGCCGCGGACCCAUCGUCGCAAUGGAUUCCGCCAGGUCGGGCGCGAUCGCGCCGUGGGCAGCAGCAUGAGGCGGUGCGACGAGGAUCGGCAUCGGCAUCUCGACACUCACGGGCUGUCCGCGGUGCAUCAACUCACAGGGGGCCGGCGCAUGGUACACUGGUGCUUGGUGUUGCGUCGGCGGGUGAUGUGUACGAUGCAAGGGCGACGGUGGCUGCGCGGGCGCCGAGAGACUGGUCGGCGGACGCAACGACGGCAGGGGCGACCGCAAGGGGUCCCGGCGACGCCACCGCCCGCGGACAUCAUCGAAAUCGGCGACGUCUGUCUCUUUGUCGCUGUCGGACAAGAGGAUGGUGUCACUAUGUCGAGAUGAUGAUGGUGACGAUGAUGGUGACGAUGAAGACGAAAAAGACGGGGAUGUUGUGUACGACGACGACGACGAUGAAUCAGAUGACAGAGGCGACGAUGGAGGUGAUGGCGAUGAUGGCGUUGAUGAUGUCGCUGACGACGAAAGUGUCGAUAGAAACGUGUCGCUCGCGGUGGUUGUGGUGGUCGUGGUGUCUGUGGAUCG
rnacentral:lncRNA from 1 species